rnacentral:lncRNA from 1 species
AUGGACAGGGGGCGGGAACUCGGAGACCACGGGCGCCGGGCAGGGCUGGAACAUUCCAGAAAGUUCCUAAAACGACUCCUGGCAUGCACCGCCGGCUCCAUCCGUGUCUCCAGCAGGUGCACGGGGCCCCCAAGGGCUUUAUCCGGGUAUCCCAGGGUUCAUGUGGAGCUCCCCAGAGCUCCAUCCAGGUCCCUUGGAGCUGUAUCCAGGUCCCUAGUUGCUGCAUCCGGGUCUCCAGCAGGUAUACGGGGGCCCCCAGGAGCUCCAUCCGGGUCUCCAGCAGGUGCACGGGGCUCCGGUUCACCCCCAGGAGUUCCAUCCGGGUCCCGUGGGAGCAGCAAUGCCAGCUCAGGCCCCUGUGCACUUGCUGGAGUCCCGGAUGGAGGCCCUGAGAGAGCAGGAUCUAGGUCAUUGUGGGCGUUCUGGGCGGGCAGAGCGGCUGGACUGGUCCAGCUGGUUCCACACGCCCCCGCCCAGAGCUCCAGAACGUUCCAGGACCUUAGCCAAGGCCCGGGCGCGCGAUGCCGAGCCGCUGGGGUCUCCUGUGCCUGGUGCUGCUGUGUCUGCUGCCCGGCCCGCGAGGCCAAGCCGACUUCGAUCUGGCCGAUGCCCUGGACCCCGCAGAGCCCAGCGCAAGUCCGAGCCCAGGUCCCCUCCUCCCACCCGGACAUGUGGACCCCGGCCCAGAUCAGUACCCACGCCCUGACGGAAAUCCCGCCCUCGCCGACCCCCAAGGGAGCACAGUAG